CGAUAUGCUCCGCCCCCAGCCCGCGGAGCUUGGGAACCUCAGCAGGAACCUCAGCAGAUGAUUCACACAAGGGACAUCACCAUCCUUCAAGAGGAAUCCCCAGCUGCGGGGCAGUGGUGCAACCCCUCUCCAGUGGACCACGCAAGACACACGCUAAUUUCACACUAAAGGGAGGAGUGGCCCUGGACGAGCAGUACUCAGAUCACGUACUCAGGUUAUCUUAUGUGAACCUUCUCCCCAUUUACUGAUCA